rnacentral:rRNA from 1 species
UACAGAGGGGGCGAGCGUUGUUCGGAAUUACUGGGCGUAAAGGGCGCGUAGGCGGCCAACUAAGUCAGACGUGAAAUCCCUCGGCUCAACCGGGGAACUGCGUCCGAUACUGGCAGGCUUGAAUUCGGGAGAGGGAUGCGGAAUUCCAGGUGUAGCGGUGAAAUGCGUAGAUAUCUGGAGGAACACCGGUGGCGAAGGCGGCAUCCUGGACCGAAAUUGACGCUGAGGCGCGAAAGCCAGGGGAGCAAACGGG